GAUGAACGCUGGCGGCGUGCCUAAUACAUGCAAGUCGAGCGAACAGACGAGGAGCUUGCUCCUCUGACGUUAGCGGCGGACGGGUGAGUAACACGUGGAUAACCUACCUAUAAGACUGGGAUAACUUCGGGAAACCGGAGCUAAUACCGGAUAAUAUAUUGAACCGCAUGGUUCAAUAGUGAAAGACGGUUUUGCUGUCACUUAUAGAUGGAUCCGCGCCGCAUUAGCUAGUGGGUAAGGUAACGGCUUACCAAGGCAACGAUGCGUAGCCGACCUGAGAGGGUGAUCGGCCACACUGGAACUGAGACACGGUCCAGACUCCUACGGGAGGCAGCAGUAGGGAAUCUUCCGCAAUGGGCGAAAGCCUGACGGAGCAACGCCGCGUGAGUGAUGAAGGUCUUCGGAUCGUAAAACUCUGUUAUUAGGGAAGAACAAAUGUGUAAGUAACUAUGCACGUCUUGACGGUACCUAAUCAGAAAGCCACGGCUAACUACGUG
rnacentral:rRNA from 1 species